rnacentral:misc_RNA from 1 species
AAAGUCGUAACAAGGUCUCCGUUGGUGAACCAGCGGAGGGAUCAUUACCGAGUUUUCAACUCCCAAACCCCUGUGGACCAUACCUAUGUUGCUUCGGCGGAUCCGCCCCGGCGCCCUCGUGCCCGGAACCCGCGACCGCCGAAGGCCCAAACUCUUACAUCUUCCUGGAUCAUCUGAGUGACACAAACAAAUAAAUCAAAACUUUCAACAACGGAUCUCUUGGUUCUG